GGGGUCGUUACGGAUUCGACAGGCAUUAUGCGGUACAUUUUGCAACUCAUCGGCAGAUGUAAAAUUGCCAGUUAAAUAUAACUGCAAAAAAUACAAAUUCUUACGCUGUAGCUGCCUAAAAAACAGCUCGCGUGAUCUCUACAGAAUUGCUUGUGUUUUGCUAGAGGUUUCAUUGAUUAACAAGCUACGUUUGGUUAUUGUCUAGCUGACCAAAAAGAGAUUAAUAGACUCGCUUCAUCUAGGUUUGAGUUAUGUAUCGAGAUUAAGUUAAACUAAAAACAUAACCUAUGGUUGUAGACAAAUGUAUUAGCAGGUGUCUGGACGUGGGUUCGACUCCCACCGGCUCCAUCA
rfam:Streptococcus gallolyticus strain ICDDRB-NRC-S1, complete genome.